GCUGUAUCUCAAUGGUAGGAAAUCUGAUUUACAUGCAGAAGGUCCCAGGUUCAAUCUCUGAUGUCUCCA